UGGGGAAUUUUGGACAAUGGGCGAAAGCCUGAUCCAGCAAUGCCGCGUGUGUGAAGAAGGCCUUCGGGUUGUAAAGCACUUUUGUCCGGAAAGAAAUCCUUGGCUCUAAUACAGUCGGGGGAUGACGGUACCGGAAGAAUAAGCACCGGCUAACUACGUGCCAGCAGCCGCGGUAAUACGUAGGGUGCAAGCGUUAAUCGGAAUUACUGGGCGUAAAGCGUGCGCAGGCGGUUUGCUAAGACCGAUGUGAAAUCCCCGGGCUCAACCUGGGAACUGCAUUGGUGACUGGCAGGCUAGAGUAUGGCAGAGGGGGGUAGAAUUCCACGUGUAGCAGUGAAAUGCGUAGAGAUGUGGAGGAAUACCGAUGGCGAAGGCAGCCCCCUGGGCAAGUACUGACGCUCAUGCACGAAAAGCGUGGGGGAGCAAACAGGAUUAGAUACCCCUGGUAGUCCACGCCCUAAANGAUGUCAACUAGUUGUUGGGGAUUCAUUUCCUUAGUAACGUAGCUAACGCGUGAAGUUGACCGCCUGGGGAGUACGGUCGCAAGAUUAAAACUCAAAUGAAUUGAC
rnacentral:rRNA from 1 species